rnacentral:lncRNA from 1 species
CAUAGGAAACGUUUGGAUAAAAAAAUGGAUAGACUCUGGAAGAGCUUGCUGCACUGUCCUUGUAGGCAAAGAAAAACUGUUCCAUCAGUGCCUGUUCCUCCUCUCUUUGUAAUUCAGGUAUGGUGAGUAAGUCUGAGAGUAUCACCAGUAACCUUUCUGUUGGAUUAGUUGCAACAAAUGGCAGAGAUGAACACAUUUGCUUUAAUUCUGUGUUCACGUAAAACAGACGCUGGUGGAUUCCCUUCAGAUAUUUGAAGGGAAGCUGGUUUGAUUUUUAAAUUCAUAUUGCAGCCUGUCUGCAGAGCACUCAAUUAUCACAAUUAAAGAGAAAUCAGCUGAGUAGUAGCAAAGUGGAAUGUUUUCAUUACUAUUUUUAUGAAUUAAUGAAAAAAUCAGUCAUUAAGAUAGCUAAGAGUAAUAUUUUUAAAUUUACUUCUCAGUCUUUGUCAUCCAAUUAACUUAAAUUCAUUUUAAUUUCUUUAAUUGAUUAAUUAUUUAAAUUGAUUUUAAUGGAAAAAUUGUCUCAUUCCUGUAGUUUUUUAUUUUGAAAAUUGAUAUUUGAGUUACACUUUUUGUUGUUGAUUUUCAUUAUUAUUUUAUUGCACAGAUAGCAGAUGUACUGACCAAGUAUACCUUGAAACUGGAAGAAAUUUCUUUCUUCUUGGCAGCUGAUGUUCACAAGCUCAUUAACAAUAAGGCCAUGGUAAAUGUUUUAAAAUGGCUUUAAAUAAAAUAAUGCACAGUAGUAUGGAUACUCUGAUUCAUAAUUUUAUAUUUUAAGUGCCGACUGAUUUGUAUUUUAAGAUACCUGACUCUUGUUUCCUACUUUGAUAGCACCUUGUUGCCUCCAAAACAUACACAAUCUGACAUAAUAAAUGAAUGGUACAGAACUCUGGAGAAUUUAAACAGGAGUAUUGACACACCUAAUGUGGAGUGCAUGGAGAAAAUGCGCAUCCAGUAUGAGCUGGUCCAGGACAAAUGUCAGGAAAAAGUGCAGGUCUGCAAGGUGAGUGUCAGCUUUGG